AAUAUAAGAACCCGAAUGCACCCACAAUUGCUCCGAGCUUCCCAGAAGCUGCUGAUAUACCGUGGCAAGUGGAUCUUAACCUUGCAGGGAAAAUCUCGGCUGGUACAACAAAUGUGGUGGCAUUAGGUCCAAAGUUUGCAAAGAAGAAGGUCAAUGAGUAUAUAAUCACGAAUCCAAUUCGGUUGUCCUUGUGGGUCCAGUGGUUGUAAGGAAUGGCCAACGCAAACAUGAACACUGUCAUGAAGAAGAAACCCAUCAAUUGGAUUGCAAACCUUCCUAUCCUGUCAAUAAAAGCCACUGUGAACCAGUAGCCUGGGACAGUACUGCAUAGAGCGAUAAGUGUUUGCGCCCUCUGCAAUUCUAUAAACCUCAUCGAUGGCAUUCAUGGUCUUUGCUUUGGGAAUCCAUCCGAUCGCGCUAAAUAUAUCCUUUUGGAAAAGAUUUUGGCUGUAGAAUGCAAUGUCAAGCAAGAACCAUGUGGUUGUUGUUCCAAGCAAGUGGAGUCCAUGGCGAUGAAGGAACUUUUUUGUGAACAGACCAAAUUGAUUGGACUUGUCCUCGGUCAGUUGCUCGACCUUCUGCUCUUCCGCCUCAAGAUCCACCUGCAGAACUCUUGACAUAUCAGUCGCAGCCUGUUUUGCAUUCUUGGCGACAAGUGCAGUGUAACGGGCAGUUUCAGGCAUCUUCAUCCUCCAGUAGUAGGUAAGUGCAGCGGGAAGCGCUCCAACCAUUACAAUUAUACGCCAAACGUAGUCAGCUUGUGGGACA